rnacentral:rRNA from 1 species
GCUCAGGAUGAACGCUGGCGGUAUGCCUAACACAUGCAAGUCGAACGAAUCUUUCGGGAUUAGUGGCGGACGGGUGAGUAACGCGUGAGAAUCUGCCUCGAGGAUGGGGACAACAGUUGGAAACGACUGCUAAUACCCAAUAUGCCGUAAGGUGAAAUUUUUUAGCCUUGAGAGGAGCUCGCGUCCGAUUAGUUAGUUGGUGGUGUAAAGGACUACCAAGGCAGCGAUCGGUAGCUGGUCUGAGAGGAUGAGCAGCCACACUGGGACUGAGACACGGCCCAGACUCCUACGGGAGGCAGCAGUGGGGAAUUUUCCGCAAUGGGCGAAAGCCUGACGGAGCAAUACCGCGUGAGGGAGGAAGGUUUUUGGAUUGUAAACCUCUUUUAAUAAGGAAGAAGAAAGUGACGGUACUUAUUGAAUAAGCAUCGGCUAACUCCGUGCCAGCAGCCGCGGUAAUACGGAGGAUGCAAGCGUUAUCCGGAAUCAUUGGGCGUAAAGCGUCCGCAGGUGGCUCAUCAAGUCUGCUGUUAAAGACAGAAGCUCAACUUCUGAUAGGCAGUGGAAACUGGUGAGCUAGAGUAUGGUAGGGGUUGAGGGAAUUCCCAGUGUAGCGGUGAAAUGCGUAGAUAUUGGGAAGAACACCAGUGGCGAAGGCGCUCAACUGGGCCAUAACUGACACUCAGGGACGAAAGCUAGGGUAGCGAAAGGGAUUAGAUACCCCUGUAGUCCUAGCUGUAAACGAUGAACACUAUGCGUUGCUUGUAUCGACCCGAGCAGUGCCGUAGCCAACGCGUUAAGUGUUCCGCCCUGGGGAGUACGCACGCAAGUGUGAAACUCAAA